rnacentral:rRNA from 1 species
AUUCUGGUUGAUCCUACCAGUAAUAUACGCUUGUCUCAAAGGUUAAGCCAUGCAUGUCUAAGUACAAACAUAAAUGAAUGUGAAACCGCAUAAGGCUCAGUAUAACAGCUAUAAUUCACAAGAUCAUCCUACCACUAGUUACUUGGAUAACUGUGGAAAAUCCAGAGCUAAUACAUGCAACAUGCCGGGACUGUUGCCCUCGCGGGUAGCUGAACUGGUGCACUUAUUAGUUAAACCAAUCGCCUCCGGGCGGCUUGAGUUGAAGUCUGGAUAAGGACGCAGAUCGUAUGGUCGCUUGUCGACUGACGACAGAUCUUUCAAAUGUCUGCCCUAUCAACUAUUGAUGGUAGUGUAGAGGACUACCAUGGUUGCGACGGGUAACGGGGAAUCAGGGUUCGAUUCCGGAGAGGGAGCCUGAGAAAUGGCUACCACAUCCAAGGAAGGCAGCAGGCGCGUAAAUUACCCAAUCCCAGUACGGGGAGGUAGUGACGAGAAAUAACAAUAUGGACCUCUCUAACGAUGGUCCAUAAUUGGAAUGAGUUGAGUAUAAAUCCUUCAACAAGGAUCAAGUGGAGGGCAAGUCUGGUGCCAGCAGCCGCGGUAAUUCCAGCUCCACUAGCGUAUAUUAAAGUUGUUGCGGUUAAAACGUUCGAAGUUGAUUGCCCGUCCAGACACGUGACCGCCACGGGCGCCCCGGGUUACACGCCGGGGCCGUUCGUGCGCGCGCCUCACGGCUGCGACUCACAAUGGGUGUACUUGGGCGUUACUCUGUGAACGAGUACCGUGCUACCGGUUAACUCCGGCACGGGCUCCUCAUGGUGCUCAAGAUACUCACAUUUACCUUGAACAAAUUAGAGUGCUCAAAGCAGGCUAAGACAAAGCGUCCGGCCCCCCGUGGGUUGGCGUGUGGCCGAGAAUAUCUUGCAUGGAAUAAUGGAAUAUGACCUCGUUAUACGAUUUCGGGGGUUGGGUUUGUCAGAAACCUAGAGUAAUGAUAAAGAGUAGUUGGGGCAUGGUAUUACGGCGACGGAGAGGUGAAAUUCGUAGACGUCGUAGGACAACUGAAGCGAAAGCGUUUGCCAUGGAUGCUUUCUUUUAAUCAAGAACGGGGAGAGAGAUUCUACGCCUUCCCCGGGUUGUUUAAACAGCAAGAAUCGGGCGAAAGAUGAAAA